rnacentral:rRNA from 1 species
AUGUACUUUGAGCUUUCGAUCCAUCUUAGUAUUCUGGCUUUAAUUCCAUAUAUCUCAAAUAUUCCGCUGCUGGAUUUCAGUGAAGAUCAAUUUGACCCAGCCCAAAUUGGCAAGUGCACCGACCAAUGCUUUAAUUCUCUCUGCUACUUGCUGGUUAUUUAUUAUUUUUGUCUCUUCUUAAUUGAAAGCUUAUUGAUUUCACAAGUUUUACAGCUAGCGCAAGGUAGUAGUAUGAGCAAUUUAACCUUGUCUUGUGUGUAUUAUUUGGUCCUCUUAAUCUCUAAUGUUCUUUUCCCAGCCGAACAAAUCUCUAAUGUUCUUUGA